UACGUAGGGUGCGAGCGUUAAUCGGAAUUACUGGGCGUAAAGCGUGCGCAGGCGGCUAUGCAAGACAGAUGUGAAAUCCCCGGGCUUAACCUGGGAACUGCAUUUGUGACUGCACGGCUAGAGUGUGGCAGAGGGGGGUGGAAUUCCACGUGUAGCAGUGAAAUGCGUAGAGAUGUGGAGGAACACCGAUGGCGAAGGCAGCCCCCUGGGUUAACACUGACGCUCAGGCACGAAAGCGUGGGGAGCAAACAGG
rnacentral:rRNA from 1 species